rnacentral:rRNA from 1 species
UACAGAGGUCUCAAGCGUUGUUCGGAUUCAUUGGGCGUAAAGGGUGCGUAGGUGGCGAGGUAAGUUGGAUGUGAAAUCGCCCGGCUCAACUGGGCGGGGUCAGCGGAUACGAUCGAGCUGGAGCAAGCUAGGGGGCAAUGGAAUUCCCGGUGUAGUGGUGGAAUGCGUAGAUAUCGGGAGGAACACCAGUGGCGAAGGCGGCCUUCUGGCUCACAACUGACGCUGUAGCGCGAAAGCGUGGGGAGCGAACGGG